ensembl:piRNA 21ur-4117 ncRNA
UGCUUCGUUUGGUGUCAAUCG